rnacentral:misc_RNA from 1 species
AGAAGGAGAAGGAGAGCGAGAGACGCACUCCAAGCCGGCGGUAGUUAGAAGAACGAUUCGAGAGAGAAAAGUGGAGAGGACUGAGUAAUUGUUUGAUUGAGCAGCACUGCCACUGUAGGUUAAUAAACACCGAUGAUGUCGUGAUGAGGAAUGAUCUUGGAAGAGGAGCGUGAAGACUAACUGAAGAGAGGAUUGACAAUGAGAAUCGAUGACCAGACCAAAACGCAGUGAGUGGAGGAGGGGGAGAAUGGUGUGGCGCCUGGUCUGGAGAAAAUUUAUUAAAUUAACCCUAACUCCAAAGGCCAAAA